rnacentral:tRNA from 1 species
GCCGGGAUGGCGGAAUCGGUAGACGCAGCGGACUCAAAAUCCGCCGCCGCAAGGCGUGAGGGUUCGAGUCCCUCUCCCGGCACCA